UACGUAGGGUGCGAGCGUUAAUCGGAUUUACUGGGCGUAAAGCGUGCGCAGGCGGCCCGUUAAGACAGUGGUGAAAUCCCUGGGCUCAACCUAGGAAUUGCGCUUGUGACUGGCGGGCUUGAGUGCGGUAGAGGAGGGUGGAAUUCCUGGUGUAGCAGUGAAAUGCGUAGAGAUCAGGAGGAACACCGAUGGCGAAGGCAGCCCCCUGGGCCUGUACUGACGCUCAUGCACGAAAGCGUGGGGAGCAAACAGG
rnacentral:rRNA from 1 species